UUCAGGCUGUAAACCUGCCUCUUCAAUCACCGGUACCACAGUUUCGGCAAUUGUUUCAGGAACUUUGUCGGAUUGAACCGGGGCUCUACAGAGCGGACAGUUAGAGUGAGCGUGAAACCAAAUGUCGAGACAGCAAACAUGAAAGGUGUGACUACACUUGGGCAAUAGUCGCCCUUUCUCACCUUCUUGGAAUUCCGAUAAGCAAACGGCGCAUUGGAGAACUGAAUCCUGCGUUUUCGAACUGUAAACAAAAGUAGGAAGAGUUCCCAAAAUAGACGGGUCAAGCGCUUUGUCUGCUGCACCAGCGGCGGUGGGUGUGACGGAGAGAGAGAGGGGGUGGCGACGGCGUUGGCGGUGUUUGAAUAUCCAACGAGCAUAACUGUGGAAACAAACUAUGAAGACGACGAUUGUGAAGAGGAUGAUUCCUGAACAAAGCAUUAUCUUUCCAUUACGAGCGUAGGCCGUGUUAUUGGAGACUUGAUUGGAGAUUCCAUCGGUGUUUUCCAUUAAAGAAAGGGUGCAGAACACAAAAUGAAUUAGAGGAUGGAG
rnacentral:misc_RNA from 1 species